rnacentral:lncRNA from 1 species
GUGCGCCCGGUGUGCCUGAGUAUUUACUGGCUUUGAGUGUUCCUUCCAUCUACUGGAGUUGCCACCGUGUUCCCGAUUACACUGGCGUUCUCUGACCAAGUUCUAUGUGCUGACCAGGCUGCACUUCUAUGUAAAGGGGAUAAACCAAUCGCGACAGGAACGGCGUAAAAAGAAAUUGCACGCAAAGAUAAGCCGUUGCUCAUAGUGCCUCUCUCGUAGCAGCCAUGCACUUUGAGAAAGGAGUAGCUGCCCAUCUUUUGUACCAAUAAAGAGUUGUUUUUGGCCA